rnacentral:rRNA from 1 species
AACGAACGCUGGCGGCAUGCCUAACACAUGCAAGUCGAACGAGACCUUCGGGUCUAGUGGCGCACGGGUGCGUAACGCGUGGGAACCUGCCCUUAGGUUCAGAAUAACUCCCCGAAAGGGGUGCUAAUACCGGAUAAUGUCUUCGGACCAAAGAUUUAUCGCCUUUGGAUGGGCCCGCGUUGGAUUAGCUAGUUGGUAGGGUAAAAGCCUACCAAGGCGACGAUCCAUAGCUGGUCUGAGAGGAUGAUCAGCCACACUGGGACUGAGACACGGCCCAGACUCCUACGGGAGGCAGCAGUGGGGAAUAUUGGACAAUGGGCGAAAGCCUGAUCCAGCAAUGCCGCGUGAGUGAUGAAGGCCUUAGGGUUGUAAAGCUCUUUUACCCGGGAUGAUAAUGACAGUACCGGGAGAAUAAGCGCCGGCUAACUCCGUG